CAUCUAAUUGUGCAGGGUUGAGAGUGGUGUUUAUACUUUGGAGUUCAUGAAGAAUUGGAAGGGGACAGACGUCGCCAAAGAGCUCAAUUCAGCUUGCAUUGACAAGGUUAGGGCCAACAUUCUACUGGACAUUCUUACCAUCAGAGAUAAUGUAGCGGCACUUCCAGAUUUCGUCAAACAACUUGUGAGGCAAUACGAGGAUGGAGUAGUCGUGAAGAAAUGAAGACUCUCUUAUUACCUUUAUUUCAUCAUUUACAUAAUUAUAUCGAACUUGUUUUCACUUUCGGAAAAAGUAUUGACCAUUCUAUGUAAUAAAUACGACAAUUUGCUUCAUUUUAUGUUCAAUCUCUUCAUA